rnacentral:rRNA from 1 species
GACGAACGCUGGCGGCGUGCUUAACACAUGCAAGUCGAACGGAAAGGCCCUGCUUUUGUGGGGUGCUCGAGUGGCGAACGGGUGAGUAACACGUGAGUAACCUGCCCUUGACUUUGGGAUAACUUCAGGAAACUGGGGCUAAUACCGGAUAGGAGCUCCUGCUGCAUGGUGGGGGUUGGAAAGUUUCGGCGGUUGGGGAUGGACUCGCGGCUUAUCAGCUUGUUGGUGGGGUAGUGGCUUACCAAGGCUUUGACGGGUAGCCGGCCUGAGAGGGUGACCGGCCACAUUGGGACUGAGAUACGGCCCAGACUCCUACGGGAGGCAGCUGUGGGGAAUAUUGCACAAUGGGCGGAAGCCUGAUGCAGCAACGCCGCGUGCGGGAUGACGGCCUUCGGGUUGUAAACCGCUUUCGCCUGUGACGAAGCGUGAGUGACGGUAAUGGGUAAAGAAGCACCGGCUAACUACGU